rnacentral:lncRNA from 1 species
GAACAAAAAACUGGGACAGGAACCAGAAUAUUGUCUUGCAAGGACAGGGACAUUGAAGUACCUGGUAGGGUAGGGUUAUCAUGUUAGCACAAGUAACAUAGGAGCAACUAGAAAAUGGAUUUGUCUGAAUAAACUAAGAACAAGUUCUCUGCUAAAUCUCUCUCUAAGGACUGAUCAACUAGCCAUCUUUUUCCUUAAACCAUUUUCAGAUUGAGCACAAAUUCCAAGCCCAAGAAGAAGUGUGCAGGCAGGCAUGGUAUGCAAUCGCUGGGUAGGAACAAGUGCCAGGCAGAAUCUACCAUGACGUAUUUCAUAAAUCUUUUACAAGUUUACAAUGAGAAAAUAAAUUUCAAUACUACAAUUUAAUCAUAUUCAGUUAAUUCAGAGAGAUACUAGGCUUUAUGCAUGAGAGAUAACAUACUUUUAGGCACUAAAACAUAAUUUUAUUAGCAGCAGAGGAUAAAAAAAAAAAGGUCAUGAAAGGGGAAGUAAUGUAAAUAUUGUGAUAUAUAAACUUGGAAGUAAAAUACCACAUUCAGAAUAUGCUGGACUUAUAGAUGAAUAAAAUCAAUAAAACAUGAAAAACUUGAUCACCUAAAUCAUCAUACCAACUUCAUCUAUCGCAUAAUGGGGUGACUUGCUGCACAAGGGCUCCCAACAAUGCUAGAUUUUGAGGAUGAGCAGUGCAUUCAGCUUUGCUCCUGCAAGUAAAGAACUUGUUUAUUAUUUACUCUACUAUGAGUUAGAUUAAUGGCAUACUUCAUAUACUGAUGUCAUGUGAUUAGGAGUAAAUGUAGAACAUGAAUUUACUGCCGAACAUUUUACAAAGGUGGUCGGAAGCACUUUUAUGCUGUGAUGCAGUCAUGUCCUUUUCAAGGAUGACAACGACAUUCGAUCACAUGAAUGAUGUGAAUAAUGAACAUAAAAUGUACUAGAAAAUAAAUGAGACUGAUACGAUUAAGGUACAAAGGAUGUGUCAGCUGAUCUUUGAAGAACUAUUCAAUAAUAAUAUGAUAACAAGUGCACAAAAAUUGUAAACUUAAGAAGAGAACUUACAUUUACCACAGCAAAGCUCAAAAUCCAACCAAAAAAAAGAUAGAAUUGCUGCCAGAAACAACCACUAAUCCUAUCUUCGGCAUGCGAGUCUAAACCAAAUUUUGUUCUACAAUUUUUUAGUCUCAUAAAAAGGAAAUGGAAGUUGAAUUUGCAGCUGCAAGGUUUCUUCAGUGGAUGGAGGAACAAUGAUAUAAUCAGAGAACCAGGUUUUGUCAUUUUAAUUUAAAGCAUUAAGUUGGCUUUUAUGCAUCUCUUGUGUGCAUUUCUCUACAUCAUUUGUCAAGUUUCAACCUGCAAGUUCUGCACCAAGAUAUACAACUUGAGAACUAACCACAAUCUCAUUCCCCACCUUUGCUUGCAGAUCCCUUUGCACAACUAAUACCAACAUGUACUAGUGUUAUUUUGGAUAUAUAACUUCCCAUCAUUUAAAUCUGGCACCAAGAGUAACCUCUGUCGUCUUAUCUGAUGCAUCAUGAUUAUCCAGCUAACAAGUCAAGAAGAUAAGAUAGACAAAAAAAAAGAAAAGAAACUCAAUCUCUCUGCUUGUUUUGUCAAAGUCUCUGAGUCCAUACGAAAAUUGAAAAGGAGGAGGGCACCAAUAGAGACUUAGCUUUGAAUGAACUCACACCCUACUGCUACACUCUCAGUGAUAAUGAAGCCAACAUAACCAAAGAAACCCCCAAAUUAAUUGGACGAUGUCCUCAUAUAUGACUCAAUCAAACAAGUUUCUUCAAUUUGGCAGUAUCGAUGUGACCAUCAAACUUGGAUUCUUGCUCUCUUACAAAUAUUUGUUCUCUGUUGAUGCAAAUUUCUGGCAUCCUUCCAGCCAUUUAAUAUAACCUACAAUUGUUACUUCUCAUCCCCAUUGUGUCUCUAUUCAAACAUCAAUCAUAACUUCAUGUUUCGUAGGAUUCAUCUAAAACGCAUAGACAACUAAUAAAAUAAGAUGGGUUUUUGUCCAACCUCUUUAUCGAUCUCCUACAAGCGCUUCCAUGCCUUCGAUCGCAUGCGCAGAGAGGGAGCAGCCAUUGCCUCGUGCCUUCGAUACAACGACCGGAACAUGAAAGAGGAGAAAUCGGAGGAUGUGAACUCCGAGGUCGGGAUCGGGAACCCUAAUUUUAGCAACGGGGGAGACGUCAAUCAUAAAUUU